GGAUGCCAUGAAACUGGUGACAGGACAUUGUUAGGUGGGCAGUUUGACUGGGGCGUCGCCUCCUAAAAUGUAACGGAGGCGCCCAAAGGUUCCCUCAGAACGGUUGGAAAUCGUUCGUAGAGUGUAAAGGCAUAAGGGAGCCUGACUGCGAGACCUACAAGUCGAGCAGGGACGAAAGUCGGGCUUAGUGAUCCGGUGGUACCUCGUGGGAGGGCCAUCGCUCAACGGAUAAAAGCUACCUCGGGAUAACAGGCUGAUCUCCCC
rnacentral:rRNA from 1 species